rnacentral:lncRNA from 1 species
UUUUUUUUUUUGGUGGGGGGUCAGUUAGUAUUGGUACCAUGUAGUGUUCUCCUCCCAGAAGGAUGUGUAUAUAACUUAAAAAAAGAAAUGUAAAGUGUUGUAAAUAAGAUGGUUCAUGAAGGGACGGUGAGAUGCGCCCCCUUCUGUAUUCAGGACCAGGCUGUCCCUCUCUGCGUGGUGAAGAGAGACGCUAUUUUUCUACUGCAGCACCAUGUAGGGCCGGGACCCCGGAGCCAGCUGGCAUUCUUACCGAGAUCCAAUAUUUUUUAUGAUAAAUCUGUGGCUCGACACAUCUACUGAUUGAAAUGGAUGUCUUAGACUAGGUUACUAUUUUUGUCAUAUGGAAAUGAAUAAAAUGCAGGAUGUAAUAUGACUUCUGAAUUGCGUUCCUUGAUUAUUCAAAUGGAAAAUGUGGAAUUUGAGGUUCUGGUCGUUGAUGGUGGACGUACAUCUGUGGUGUUUUCUCCGAGGAAAGUCAACAAGGGUUGACAGCUUAGAUUUAAGCAAUAUCUAAAUGUGUAUCUUGAUUGGUCUUGAAAUUUUUAUUUUUCACUUUUUUUCCUAAAAAAAAAAAAUGCGACCUCCUAAUUGUGACUUUAUUUUUUAAACAUCUGUGAUGGAAGAUGUAGUAGAAGUUGCCUCCUCGUUAGAGACUGCUGGCAGUGUCCAAAAAUGACCACACUCUGAAUUGCCUUCCCAACGUCAACGUGAAGUGAGAAUAAUCUUGGCUCUUGGGAAAUAAAUCGUGUGCACCGAGUCCUGGUCCGGGCAGGCGCAGGAGGGGAGGUGCUGCUCGAGCCCCGCACUGUGCAGCAGCCACUGGUACCUCCCGGCCCUUUGCUCUGGAUGGAGGAUGUCUUUACUGUAGAAGAAGCUUUCCCUCACCAGUAACAUUUGAUAAGACAUAAAACUUUAAAUAAUUUAAUAGCUCCUGGAUUUCAGCAUAUCCGAUCCGUUUCUUUUUUCAAUAGCAACCGACACCUGGAGGCCGCGGCGAUCGGUGCCUGGGAAGCCGCGGGCGCUCGUGAACUCCCUGCCCGGCUGAUCGGCGGGCACAGGUCAUAAACCACAGGCGCUAAGCCGUGCUGGCUUCGGUGCUAGAGGGGAAAUCAGUAGACACGAGCCGACCGAGUCAGACCGUAAAUUCAAUCUGUUUUUUAAAAUGGUGAGGAGAUAAAGGCUCUUACCGUUUAAAAUAACACAAAUUGAAAUGCAGGGGGAAAACGAGACCUACUUAUUUCAAAAACAUUUCCAAUGUCAAAAACCAGGGCUGUUUCAGCUUAACAAGCAUGGAUAUUUACUUCUUCCUGGCAUCAACUCUAUUUUGCUCAGACCAUGCAUCAAAGAAUCAUAAAUGCCAACAAUCUCUAAAAAAUAUUUAUUUAAAUAUAUUUCUAUUCUGAGUUCUUUACAGGAACCAUUAACAUUUAAAACUAAUUAAAAAGUAUUGCUGAAGGGCUAAAAAGCAAUUGGUUUUAAACUCCACACUGUUUGGUUCUAUCCCCGUGGAGUCAGUGGGUCCCCCUGCCUGCUUCUCCUCCGUGCCCGGCAGAUGCUGCCCACCCACGGCACACAUUGGGGCUGCCUCUCUGUUGGUGUCCGGCCCAGACACCUCCGAGGCCUGUGUUUCUUUAGACUGCUAAUGCCACAGAGGCCCAGGGCCCCGGCUUCUCUUCCCAAGCAUGCUUACCACGGAGCAAUCCGUCACAUGCGUGGGACUCCAUGUUCAGCGUGCAGCUGGUGGCUCCGUGUCCAGCAUGUGGCCGGCCUGUGGGCCUUGGGUUUCCAUCUUUUGUGUUAAACUCCUGGGUUCGUUUGCUGAUCACUGGUGCUGAAGUAGAAGCGGCCUCUGGCACCGUGCCCCGAAGAGAAGCAGGCCGUGAACCGGUUCUGCGAGCGGGGCUGUCAGCUGGUUUGUCCACUGUGUUAAGCUUCAUCUGUAGAAUAUUCUAUACAAAGCUAGGGAAAUAGCUAUCGUCCCUUUACUUUGGCACAUACUGGGCACAUACUGUUGGCAUCCUUCAGGAAGGGAGCCCCUCAGUGCCACCACCAGAGACAGCUCUGCCUGCACUCCUGCUCCCAAGUUCCCAGGCUCGGGUGUCGGCGUCCCCUGCGCCGUCCUGCCAGCGAGCUCUGCGGGUCACGGCCAAGGCGCUGGGUGGACGGGCUCUGCUCCCCGACCUACAGGAAUGGCAUUAAUAUCCUUGCCAAUUCUAAAAUCCAGGGUAGUUUGUCUUUCUUUUUUUUUUUUUGAAAGAACUGUCACUAAUGUAUACCUACCCUUUUCCUCCCAAAAUUCACUAGACAAAUUGACAGUAUUUAUAUAUAUAGAAAAUACAAAUGAUUACUUAAGAAUAUAAAUAUGAAAACUCUAUUACAAAUGACUUUGCGAAAGAAAAAUCUGUGGAAUCAUUUUUGGACCGUGAGUAAAAAUGUGUUGGUAUCUCUGAUUAUUUUAAAUCGUGGAAUUUAUUUGAAGCUUUUAAAAAUGCAAUUCUAUUUAAGGUAAAAUAAAAGAAGCUCUGU